CCAAAAUUAGAAGCAGAAAGCAGGAAGGGACCGGAAGCCGGAAGGACAUACUCGUAAAAAAUCAUACAAAGCAAUAUAUUUUACAAAACCUAUAGUUUUCAAACAGAUAUCGUUGAGUUCUUUUAGCAAAAUUUAUUAGCAGUAAGUUACUAAUAUAUUUUAUAACAUAUUUCAACUAUGUUAAAUGCAAUGGAAAAUUUUAAUGUUUCUGCCAGACAUCACUAAUCAUGGAUCGUCAUAAAAUGUUUAUUCUUCAUAAACAGUGUUAACUGUGCAAUAUUAAGUUUGUACGUAACUUUUCAAAAUUUGGACCAAGGGUCAUUGCCAAAGAACUAAAAAUUUGAUUGCUACUACUUUUAAGCCAUGAAUGGUCCUGCGAUAAAAAGAUAUAAUACUAACGAAAUUAUAAGCACUAUUGUCAUAGAUUCAGAUGAUGAUGAUGAUUUUCCAAAGCGUAAAAGUGAUAUACCUGAAGGACCUAAAAAUAAGAAAUUAAAAAAAAAUCCAGUUGCGAGACCUAGUAAUAUUUUUAAUGUAACUGGAAGUAAUGCUAGAAAUGAUCAACGUCCAACAGGACCUAGAAUUUCUUCUAUUGUGACAGGAAAUAAUGCAAGAAAUGAUAAGUGUCCAUCUACAAGACCUAGUAUUAAUCCUCUUGCAACUGUAAAUACUGCAAAAAAUGAUAAGUAUCCACCUACAAGACCUGGUACUGCUGAUAUUGUAACAGGAAAUAGUACAAGAAAUGAACAAAAUCCGCAUACAAUAUCUAGUAUCCCUCCUCUUGCAGUUCUAAAUAAUGCAAGAAAUAAUCGAUAUCUACCUACCCGACUUACUGUUGCUGAUAUUGUAAAUGGAUAUAUUCCAAAAAAUAAUCAACAUACACCUACAAAAUCUAGUAUUCCUCCUCUUGUAUUUCGAAAUAAUGCAAGGAAUAUAAUUUCUGAUGCCACAACUGGAAAUAUUGAAAGAAAUGAUCAACAUCUUUUUACAAAAUCUAGUAUUCCUCCUCUUGUAAUUAUAAAUGAUGCAAGAAAUGAUCAGUAUCCACCUACAAGACCUAACAUUGAUCCUCUCAUAACUGCAAAUAAUGAGAAAAAUAAUAAACAUCCUCUUACAAGGCCUAGUACCGAUCCUCUUAUAACUGGACAUAAUGCAAGAAAUAAUCAAUAUACACCUACAAGACCUAGUAUUGAUCCUCUAAUGACUGGAAAUAAUGAAAGAAAUAAUAAACAUCCACUUACAAGACCUAGUAUUGAUUCUCUAAUGAUUGGAAAUAAUAAAAAAUCACCUACAAGACCUAGUAUUGAUCCUCUUAUAACUGGACAUAAUGCAAGAAAUAAUCAAUAUACACCUACAAGACCUAGUAUUGAUCCUCUAAUGAUUGGAAAUAAUGAAAGAAAUAAUAAAAAUCCACCUACAAGACCUAGUAUUGAUUCUCUAAUGAUUGGAAAUAAUGAAAGAAAAAAUAAAAAUCCACCUACAAGACCUAGUAUUGAUCCUCUAAUGAUUGGAAAUAAUGAAAGAAAUAAUAAACAUCCACCUACAAGACUUAGUAUUGACCCUGUAAUGAUUGGAAAUAAUGAAAGAAAUAAUAAACAUCCACCUACAAGAUCUAGUAUUGAUCCUCUACUGACUGGAACUAAUGAAAGAAAUAAUAAACAUCCACCUACAAGACCUAGUAUUGAUCCUCUUAUAAAUGGACAUAAUGCAAGAAAUAAUCAAUAUACACCUACAAGACCUAGUAUUGAUCCUCUAAUGACUGGAAAUAAUGAAAGAAAUAAACAUUCACCUACAAGACCUAGUAUUGAUCCUCUAAUAAUUGGAAAUAAUGAAAGAAAUAAUAAAAAUUCAUCUACAAGACCUAGUAUUGAUCCUCUUAUAACUGGACAUAAUGCAAGAAAUAAUCAAUAUUCACCUACAAAACCUAGUAUUGAUCCUCUAAUGAUUGGAAAUAAUGAAAUAAAUAAUAUACAUCCACCUACAAUAUCUAGUAUUGAUCCUCUUAUAACUGGACAUGAUGCAAGAAAUGCUCAAUGUCCACCUACAAGACCAAAUUUCACUGCUAUUAUAACUAAAACUAUAUCAAGAAAUGACCUCAAAAAUCAGCCUCCACCUACAAGACCUAGUAACACUUCUGUUGUAAAUAGAAGUAUGGCAAAAGAUGAAAAACCUCUACCUACAAUACCUAGUAAUGACCCUACUCUAAAUGAAAAUAUUUUGAGAGAUGAGAAAUUCGUUCAUAUAUCCAAUUUAAGUCAAUAUGAAAAAAUUUUUGACAAAAAAAGAUAUUACUUUGUGUCUGUUGACACAUUUACAGAUCCAUUGUACCAAAUAGGGCCAGAUAUCAAUACUUCAUCGAUACAAUCUCAUGAUCCUUUAGCUUCCAAUGACAUUCAAGGAUUCGAGCAAUCUGUAAAAUACCAGUCAAUUGAAUAUAGGAAAAUAAAUCAAACAUUAAUACAACCUAACAAUACUCUGGUGAAAAAUGAUAAUAAUAUGUUACGAGGAUUCUCUGAGUCUGAACAAAACAAGACAGCUGAAUGCAGGAAAAAGUAUAGUGCCAUAGUUCACCGAUACCAUAAUGUUAUACAUAGCAAUUAUUUUGACCUUCUUAUGUUGCAACAGAAAAUAAAAAUUGCUAAACGAAAAAAGAAACAAAGUUUGGAGAAUUCCAAAAAUUCCCAGUACGACAGUGAUCUGUUGAUAAUGAAAAAGGUCGAAUUUCUGAAGUCGGGACUUGAAAAAAGAGGGCGGGGUCGACCGAAAUCGAAAAAGAAUGUGCGAACUAGUUUCACGCACAUAAAAAGAGGAAAAAAACCUUCAGAUAAUCCUGACUCCUAUGAAGAUGACUCGAACUUUACUGUACUAUAUAACAAUGUACCAUAUAAAAUUAAUCCGUCAUACGUCGAUAUGAAUAUAAAUAACGCCAUGUUAAAUAAACCAAAUCUAACUAAGGAAUCAGGAGAUAAAAAAAUAAAAUCAGCCAAAGUUAUAACAGACUUCGAAGAAUUCAAACGAAAAAUAACGGCAACCAGACCGUUUUUAAUUCUGAACGAGGAAAGUAAGGUUAAUGUAGAGACUGCAGAGGAUUUUAAUAUUAUUUUUCCGUUAAGUAAGAAUACAGAGACUGUAGAUAUAAACUUUAGGAAUCGAGCUAUUCGUAAGUUAGCAUUGAGGGGACAGGUUAUGUUUGUUUUGUCAAGAAUACUUUGUAGCUAUUUGUUACAAGUGUAAUGUACCUAUAGAUGGAAAGGAUUACUAAAUAUGAAUAGGGUUCUUAUGUAUUAUUUCUGCAAAACUAUUUUAUAUUUUGUUGAUUAUGAUUACUUAAUUAUUUUGUUAUUCUUAUUUUUUACAGACCCUAAGACUUUUACAUUAGUAGUUUUUUUUGAUAUAUGGAAUAUAUAUUGAACUCAUAUCUUUUAUAUAGUAUUGUAAGUUGGAAAUAAUGAUUUUCGUUUUACAACUCACUUGAAGAUAGUCUUGUAUAUUCGAAAAAAUAUUUGGUUGUAAAUAAUACAAAAGAAAUACAUUUGUUAUAUAGAUUCACAACUUUUAAUAUUGUAAACUUACAAUACAUAUAUGUAUAUUGAUAGAAUCUCUUCUUAUUUUUGUAAAAUACAAGUUAUUUAAAAAUGUUUAAUUCAUUUUGUAUCAGUUGUUAUCUUUUAUCUAUAUGACAUAACUAUAAUUCAUAUUUUACAGAACGUCUUUUUUAAACUGUCUGUCUCGAAUUUUUAUCUUGUCCCAAAUUUUACAAAAUAAACCAAUACUAAUACUUUUAAAUAAAUUACUUAGAUGGUAGCCCAUUUUUAUGAGUAUUUACAUUUUAUAUUCUGCAAAUAUGAAUUACAGUUAGCCACUGUAUAUUGAACAAAUAAAUAAUAUAUUAGCAAAAUACUCUUUAAAUUUGUUUUUACAUUACAGGAGAUAAUUUGAAGAAAAUACUAUUGUAUAAUGGAUAGGUCAUUCUAAAUUAGUGAUCUGUAUUUUAGUGAGUAAGAUAGAGAUAUAAUCUAACUUAAGUAAUAACCAAUUGAUAGACAGGGAUACAAGGAAAUGCAGCAUUGCGGUUCCUAUCUGGGGUAUGCAUAAUUAAAGAUGGCGCACUGUUAACUUAAGGAAUACAGUAAAAAUCUGUAGAAGUAAUGGGAA
rnacentral:misc_RNA from 1 species